UACGAAGGGGGCUAGCGUUGUUCGGAAUCACUGGGCGUGAAGGGCGCGUAGGCGGCCGAUCAAGUCGGGGGUGAAAGCCUGUGGCUCAACCACAGAAUUGCCUUCGAUACUGUUUGGCUUGAGACCGGAAGAGGUAAGUGGAACUGCGAGUGUAGAGGUGAAAUUCGUAGAUAUUCGCAAGAACACCAGUGGCGAAGGCGGCUCACUGGCCCGAUACUGACGCUGAGGUGCGAAAGCGUGGGGAGCAAACAGG
rnacentral:rRNA from 1 species